ACGAACGCUGGCGGCGUGCCUAAUACAUGCAAGUCGAACGCAUUUUCUUUCACCGUAGCUUGCUACACCGAAAGAAAAUGAGUGGCGAACGGGUGAGUAACACGUGGGUAACCUGCCCAUCAGCGGGGGAUAACACUUGGAAACAGGUGCUAAUACCGCAUAAUUCCAUUUACUGCAUGGUAGAUGGAUGAAAGGCGCUUUUGCGUCACUGAUGGAUGGACCCGCGGUGCAUUAGCUAGUUGGUGGGGUAACGGCCUACCAAGGCUGCGAUGCAUAGCCGACCUGAGAGGGUGAUCGGCCACACUGGGACUGAGACACGGCCCAGACUCCUACGGGAGGCAGCAGUAGGGAAUCUUCGGCAAUGGACGCAAGUCUGACCGAGCAACGCCGCGUGAGUGAAGAAGGUUUUCGGAUCGUAAAACUCUGUUGUUAGAAAAGAACAAGGAUGAGAGUGGAAAGUUCAUCCCUUGACGGUAUCUAACCAGAAAGCCACGGCUAACUACGUG
rnacentral:rRNA from 1 species